UCGAGAAUUUUUCACAAUGGGCGCAAGCCUGAUGGAGCGACGCCGCGUGGGGGAUGAAUGGCUUCGGCCCGUAAACCCCUGUCAUUUGCGAUCAAACCUUGCUAUUUAAAAGAUGGCGAGCUGAUAGUAGCGAAAGAGGAAGGGACGGCUAACUCUGUGCCAGCAGCCGCGGUAAUACAGAGGUCCCAAGCGUUGUUCGGAUUCACUGGGCGUAAAGGGUGCGUAGGUGGUGGGGUAAGUCGGAUGUGAAAUCUCGGAGCUCAACUCCGAAAUGGCAUUGGAAACUACCCUGCAAGAGGGGCGGAGGGGGGACUGGAAUUCUCGGUGUAGCAGCGAAAUGCGUAGAUAUCGAGAGGAACACCAGUGGCGAAGGCGAGUCCCUGGACGACUCCUGACACUGAGGCACGAAAGCUAGGGGAGCAAAC
rnacentral:rRNA from 1 species